rnacentral:lncRNA from 1 species
AAGGCGGCCCAAGGCCGCUUGAUGAAAGGAGAUAAGCUGGGGACCGUUUCCAGGAUCCCCGCGGGCCGACCGGGGCAGCCCGGGAGCCGAGGUGCGGCGGAGAGCCCGCGGAUCAAAGGAAUCUGGAGAGAAAGGGGAAGCGGGCGGCCGGCCCCGGCCGGCCUUCCCCCCCGCAGGCCACGCCGACCUGGGGUGGGGGGCUGCGGGCCGCGGGCGGGGACUCCGGGAUUUCCCGCCUGCCUGAGUCGGGGCCUACGCCGGCGCCCGCUUCGGGCGGCUCGGCCCGGAGGGGAGCUCCGGAGAGCCCGGGGCUCGCAGGUAAGCACCGGCGCUCCGCGGGCCGGGCCGGGGACGCAGGACAAGGCGCGGGGCCCACCCCGGCUGGCUCGGGAGUGGCGGUCGCGCGGGCCCGGCUCCCGUCUCCGGCGUCUCCCGGCUCCGGCGGCCGGGACCCCCCGCGGCCGAGCCCCUGGCCAGGCCCCAGGCCGGCGCCUUCGGAAGCGACGUCUGGCGGGCCGCGGGGCACGAGGGGGAGAGCCGGGAAGCGUAAAUCCCCGAAGCGCGCGGAGAUCCGAUUAGCGCGCGGCUAUUCAUUAGGCUGGGGGCGAUUGAAUUAGGUCCCUGGGCGCGGUCGCCGGCUGGGGGUGUGUGGCGCCGACCCCCGGGCUCUUGCCGUGGCCUCGGGAGGCUGGAGCAGCGAGCAGCGGCCCCAGCGAGUGUGUCGGGGAAGCGGGUGCCUCCGGGUCCCGGCCCCGCGGGUGCAGGCGGAGGCUGCCCGCUUCCCGCGUACACCGAGGACGGCCGGCCCGGCUCCGGAGAAAUGGCGCUUGAGAAAGGAGGGGAGGGGAAGGUUCCCGGACCCUGGGCAGGGACCCGUCGCCGGGGACCCGCGGAGCCCUCCGGGGAUGGAGGAGGCGCGAGCUGGAAGCGGCGCGCGAGCCCGAGCGCGGGGCUAACACCGUGGGGCCCAGUCUCUCCUGGCUCGGGUAAGUGGACGCGCCCCGAGGCCCCGGGUCCACGCAGGGCGCCCCUCGCAGACGGCGCAUUUCCUACUCUCCUAAGGAACCGAGUUCCCAUCACUGCCUCCGAUGAGCCUGUUUCCGGAUCAGGAACCUUUUUCAAGUUAAUUUUUAAAGCCUCAUUUGAAUUUUUUAAUAUAGGAAAAUACGUAUACGAGAAAAAUCUUGGAUGCAACAAAAAGAACACCGUGGCCACCCGUGGUGUCCCAGAAGUUGCUCUGAGCUCCUCGCAUCAGGGCAGGUGCUCCACCUCUAACCGCCCUGUGGGGGAACGGGAGGCCCCAAGCCCCUGGGAGUCCUGGUCUCCUCUAGAGUGUGUUGGAAGGACAGCCGCUGGAAAGGCCCCUCAGAGCCCCUAAACCAGCCUCCCCUCCCCCGUGGGCAGAUUGUUCGAGGGUCCUGGAGCCUGAAUGAUGGGCCCUCGGCUUGCCCACCCCCAUCCCCAGUCAUCAAUCACCAUUUGAGAAAUGCCCACUGCCAGGGACAUGGGAGGGCAGAGGGUAGCUCGCGGGUGCGUGGCCCCUAUCUCCUCAAGCUGGUUUAGACCCUUCUGGCUCAGCCUCACCAGAUUCCUAGGAUGAGCACUGGCUUCAAAUCCCCCAAGUGCUGGUCCCUUCGUGUCCCCGAAAGAGGCUGCUCGCGUGGGCAAAGGCCCCGAGGCGUCGAGUGCGCCUUCCAGGGCAGUGCGGAAGCUCCCUGCCCUCCUCCUUCCUCCCCACUUCUGCCUCCUCCUCCCCCAGUGUUCACUUGAAGCAAAUUCUAGUGGGCUUUUUUUUUUUCAAUACUGUUUCAAAACAGUUGUUACAGCAAAUAACUGCAGACGGGUCUGCUGGACGCGGUGGAGAGGGGCUGGCAGCUGCCCAGCACAGGCGCCUGGCCGCUGGGCAGCUCCCGCAAUACCAAAAUAAGCUCCCGAGUUCCCCUGGAAGACUUGGGCCGCCGGGAGCUCAGGCUGGCGAUCUGCUCAGAGGAAACCUCCCUACUUUCCUUUUUUACUCUUCCUGCUGUCCAGAGCUAACAAAUGUUUUUAAUUUCAGAGGAACAUGGUGUGGGGAUCUGCAGACUUGCCUUCCACUGGGGAGAGGGCCAGCGAGGGGACAGAGGGGGAGGAAAGGAGAGGGGAUAAUAGACCCGAGGUCAGUGUUGAUGCUGGAGGGCCCAGGUCUCUGAAGUUCCUGCAGCUUUGCAGGUGAGCGGGCUGCAAGUGAGGCUAGGCCUGUGGACACCCAGUGGGGCCUGGAACAGUGCCAGGAGUGGCCUUGAACCCCACCUUGAUCCCUCUCCAGCAGGAUCUGGAGUCACUUCCAUGGGCCUGGCAUACACCACUCCAGAUUUGCCCUCUGGCCUGGGGAGCAGAUAACCCCCCGCCCCACAUAACCAGCUGCGCUCCUACACCUAGCAGGCCGGCUCACAUCACCCUUUAACGCACACUAUAUUCACACACACACUUGUGCACAGUCUUGAAUGUGUGCCCACACAUCUGCCUGCACACACUCAUGUGCCCACAUGUGAAUCACUUGGAAGUGUACACAAAACCAAACCCACAGCACAGAUGGGCAGACAGGUGAGCCUCGUGCAGCAUGUGACACUCCCACAUGCACAAGACAUGUGUGCAGAGGCAUAUCACACACGCAGAAGCACUCCCGAGAACUGCCUUCUCCCUUUCAGCCUAGGGGCCCCUGUUCCCCCACAACCGGGCCCAGCCCUGGAGCCCCCUCCAGCACUCCUCUCCCACCCCCACGCUCCCCAAGAGCAGCAGAUGUAGGUCUCCCGGCUCCCAAACCUCUGAGAUGCUGCUCUGUCUGAAAUCAUCAUAUAAAUAAUCAUUUUUUAAUACAAGGGGGUGGGGGUGUCAGGCAAGUUCCAUGAAAUUGUGAAUUAGCCGCUGCUCCAAAUAAAUGCCUGCUUCGGCCCGAGAGCAGCCGCGCUGCGCCCGCUGCGCCCCCAAUAAUCGUGUGUUGGGUAUCUCUCCAUUGUUCCCUGGGCCAUUAGUCAAAGGGCAAAUUAGAAACAAUUUCUUGACGACAAAAAUUGACUCUUAAUUCUUCCCACCAGAGGCGCAGGGGGACAAGUCCAGAGGCCAGGCCUGAGGCUGGGGCUGGCGGCAGGAGGGGUAGGCGGGGUAGAGGUGGGGUAGAGGUGGGGGAUCUAAGAUGGUUCACAGCACAGAGACCUCCCUCAACUGGAGGGCAGCAGCAGCUCACCCCCACCCCAGAAUCAGUGUUCCAGAGGACAGCUGGGGGCAGGGGGUUAGGAACAAUCCCACUCCCUCCUGGAAGAGGUCCUGACCCCCCACCCCACCCAUCUGCCUGUACGGGUCCCUCUGCUAUCGACUGGGGCGAGUUCUUUUCAUGAGGGCCUUGCCUGGUGCCUGGAGGGAACAGGGUGUGGGGGAAAGGUCUGUGUGUUCCCCCCUCACCUCCCCUGCUCAGCGGUGUGGCCUCUGGCUCUGGGGAGGAUCGGGAAGCCCCAGGGUCCGUGCCUUGGAGUGGGGGGACAGCCUUUUCUCUGCCACAGCUUCUGCCUUUGGAGGCUUACCCUUCCUAGGAGCAGAACUGUUGUGGAGGGGAAGAGGACGGCGAAGGUUCCGAAGGGAAGGGGGCUGCCCCCACUGAAAACGAAGCUUCCAGUCACAGCCCCUUCAUUAUUUAUCAGGACCCAGGGGAUGAGGUGGCAGGGGAGGGGGCUGCAUGGAGGGAGUGCCCUCACCCUCGUCCCCAGCGCCUGCCCCCUCCCGACCAGGCCUGGGCUGAGGCCCAGGGUAAGGGGGCUGAGGCAGGCCACAGAGGAGCAAGACUUGUCAGGGGCCAGACCUGGGUAGGAGGAUUGUCCUCCAGGCACACACGGCCCCCAGCCCCCCAGCCUGUCGAACUGGGCUCUCCCAGAAGGUCCCCGGCUCCAGCCCAAGCAGGGAGCCAGGUUGGGGGUGUGGGAAGGCAGAAGUCCCAGGGAUCCUGGGGGAGGCUCAGGUUGUACCUGAAGGCCACAGUCUCCUCGACAGACCUCGGACGAGGUUGUAAGUGUUUUAAAGAAACUAGAGCAGCAGAGAAGAGAGACUCAGAAGCCCGUGGCACGGCUUUCUCGGCGUCCCCUCCAGCGAGGGGGUCUCCAUUGCUGCAGUUGCCGGUUUUGUCCAACCAGGUCAGGAGGCUGCCCGGCCCCCUCCCCACUCUCAAAGUUGCUUGUUAAACACAGAGUCGUAAUUUGUGGCUAAAUAUAACUAGUGUGUUCUCACGGAAAGUAUAAUUCAGGGUGCUCAUUGUAUGAGGUUAUCAACAAGACCCAUCUGGGUUAAAUUAAAGUGAUUUUCAUAAAGGGCAGAAGCGCCCCUUUGCCUGGUUUCCCCUGCCUUUUUAUUAGUGACAGUGUUAUUGUUGCAAUUAUUAGAGGGGAUCAAGGAAGGUGGGAGUUGCCAGGGACCCCCAGGCUGAGGAGGGAGCCUCCCAGCCCCCCUCCACUCACCAUUGUCCUGCUGCCCCUCCAGCCCCCUGGUCACUGUCACCUCUGCGGCUGGAGGGCUGGAGAAAGGCCCAGGAGCCCAGGGAACCUCCACCAUGCCAGGCUGCCUUCCCUAAAGGCCGGCUCCUUCCCCCCAGGCAGCCAGUCUGGGGGUGGACCUGGAGGGGCAGGGUUCUCUGGGAAUCUCUGGGCCAAGGGAUGCGCUUUGGGGAUCUGCUGGAAUAAAGAGUAAUCGGUUUUCCUUACAGGAGGUUGACCCGAAACAGCCCUCCGUCUUCCUGCCCAUGAGGAUGAGGACAGGAAGCCAGACCCGGGAGAGAAAGCCCAGAUCAGACAGAUGGGGGUUGGGAGGGCCUAGUGGCUGAAACUGCCCUGCUUGGGGACAAUGCUCAGGCAGGACCAAUCCAAACGAGGGCACUGCUUAUGUGGUCCUUCCGGAGCAUCCUCCAAGGCAGAGCCUGGCUUCGGGCCCUCCCUGCAAGGACACCUGCCUCCACUCCCUGCCAGACCAGGCCUGGCUGCAGAGGCGGAGGGGCGGCAGGGCUGCCUGUCUCCACUGUUUGGCGGUGUUUACACGUGUCGCUGUCAGGGUGUCUGGACAGUGGGGGUCGGGGGCCUCCCGGGCCCAGACUUCCCCAGGCCUAUUCUCACACUGGUGAGAGGGCCCUAGGGGAAGGGUGUGGGCUGGGUGGCGGGGCCAGGCCAGCUGAGACCUACAGGACCGUGGAGCAUUUAGGUCUCCCACCCAACUCCACCCGGUCCUCUGAGCAUCAGUUACAGAGCCCAGGCAGCAGGAGGGCAGGGCCCAGCCCCUUAUCACCCAUCCUCAAGGCAGGCAGGAACCCUGAAGGCAGCUUCCACCAGGGGUUCCCUUAGCCCCCACCCUCCAAAAGCCCCAGACCCUGCCAGGCCUCACCCUGCCAGCAUCGUGGCCCCAGCUGACGGCUCCCAAGGGCAGGUGCUGGCAACACAAGCAGGAGCCCUCGGGGCAUCCCGCAGGGCACACACCAGGUCGCCCUGGGCUCCCCAAGCACCUCCCAGACCCAGCCCUUGGGUGGGUCCUGGCCCACAAACCCCCACGCCCUGCCCCUGAGAUGAGCCCCACCGCCCACCUGCCCUCCAGCCCUGGAGACCUUUCUCCCCCUUGGCCAUGGCUCCCAUGGGGAGGCUGCAGGCCCUCCCUGGGCUGGACCAGAGGGGACAGACUGUCUCUCCCCUGCGACUUCUGGGGGCACUGGAGUCCUUGGCCUGGUUACCUUCAGCAUUUAUAGCCCUCCAGUGAGUUAUUCCUCGGAGUUCUCACAGAGCAGCAUGCGCCUGCGGCAAAGCCCUCACCUCCAGCCCCUGGACCACCUGACUGCUGCCUCCCGCCUGGCGCCAAACACGGCCACCGCCUCUUUUGUUAACAGGACAGUUGAUCCAUUAAAUUAAAAAUCAUUCAAUAGAUUCAUUUUUUUUUUCUGGCCUGAACAAAUACGUAUUCCAUCUCAAUUCAUGAAGCAUCAGUACCCGCUGCAGGGGUAAUUCCCCAGGCGGGAGAGGAGUUUCGGGGAAAGUGCCCCCAAAGGGAGACUCCCCAGAAAUCCCUUUCCAAGCAGCCAAGGCAGGCAGGCCAGAGGAGCCUGCCCCGGGCCAGGGCCCAGACCCACGCAGCCGCCCGCUCUCCCGGCCACUUCCGCCGGGGCCUUUCCGAGCGAAGUCCAUUAGGGCCGGGUCUCUGCGCCUCCCCUACCCGGGGUCCGGGCAAUACGCAGCCCCGACCACCGUCCUCGGCCCGGGGGAAGCGCAGACACACACUGGAGGCAUUUUCUUCCCUCCGGAAUUGAUUGGUUUUUGUUUUUGUUUUAAUAGCAGGACUUUUCCAAGCAAAAAGUCUCCUGAGGCGGGUGGUAAAAAAAUCAAAGCCUCUACAUCCAAGCCCGGAACAAAAGCCCUUUGGAAAUCCCGCGGCGGGGCCGGGCGCGGGCGGAUGCGGCGGGAGGGGCGGCCGAGCGCGCCCGGGACCCGCGUCGGGAGAAGCCGCGCAGCGCCUACCGCGGAGGUCGAGUCUCGGCGGCCCCACCUGCUCCGGAGUCGGCCCUGUCCCUCCGUCUGGGGAGGCGGCCGGAGGCGCCAUCACCGCAAAUUUAUGGCCCGGGUGACGCGCUUCCUACUCCCACAGUGGGGCCCGGUGACAUUAAACAGAAAAUUGACGAGAGCGGAGCGAAACCGAAUCCGUUUCCCUCCAGGCCCGUCCCCCUCGCUUUUCGGGGAGGGGACCAGGGACGGGAGGAAGGGCGUCCCUGAGUUUGUGCGCUCGGGAGCCCGUGCUGGAGGCUUCUCCCAGAUUCCAGAGCCCAGGCAGCGUGCUGGGGGCGCGCGACCCCGCCCGGACCGCACCCCUUCGCCGGCCGCAUUUCGGGCGGAACCUCGGCUCGCGUUCCACGCGCUCGGGGCGACCAGGCAGAGUGGGGCCCCGCACCCGGGUCGCUCCCGCUCGGAGGGCCCAGGCCGGAUGAGGCUCCGACGCGCCCUCGGCCCUCCCUCCGCGCCCCAGCUCCGGGGAGCGCCCCGCUGCCUCCAGCACAGCGGGGGAGGGAGGACCCCGGCUGCCCAGCCCCCACCCUCGCCGCCGCGCCCCGCCCCCGGCCGGCGCAAGUGGGAGAAGAGAGCGAGUGACGAGCGGGGCGCGCCUGGGUGGCUGCCGGGGGUCGCUCCUCUGGCCUCGAGCGCCCCCUCCCUCCGCCCCCCGGCGCCUCCUGGCACCGAACCCGCCGCGCCGCCGCGUCCUUAAAAGCGCCGCCUGCUUUGCUGGCCUUUGGGCGCGCGGCAGGGAAGGUCACGCCGGGGUGGGGUCGGUGGCGCGGGGACAGCGACACUGCCGGGCGCCGGCAUACCCCCUACCCCCGCCUCCGCCCCUCCGGGCACUUGCCGCCGCCCUGCAGGCCUGGGUCUUGCCGCACUUGUUCUGUCGUGCUGGGGCACACGGAGCCAAGACCAGAGCCGGCGCAUGUGCUUGUCAGAGAGGAAUCCAGGGAGCCCUGUGGGGGCUGCUUGGGGAAAUGAGGCUGUCAUCCCCGCGCCCCAGGUGCUCAACGGGGAGGAUAAAGGAGCCCUGGCCUGCGGGAGGCAGCCCCAGGGGACGGACGGAGCCCUGGUUCAGAGCCCAGAGAGGGCAUUGGAGGGCCAGGCCUCAGCCAACUCCAUUUCUCCCCUCUCUGGCCUGCGUGGGCAUCGGGGGCAUGGUGGGUACCAGAUCCUACCCUGCCUGCUCAACCCUCUAGACAGCCUGGGACACAGAGGGCAUGGUGGCCAUGCCCAUUUUACAGAUGAGCAGAAGGAGACUGUGAGAGCAAAUAACGUGCCCUUGUUCACACUGAGGGCCUGGGUGCGUAGGCUCUGGAUUCUUCUGGAAAACUAGUACUAGGGUUGGCUGACUUUUGGGCCUGGGACAACCCUAAGACUCCUGGCUGGGGCAGACAUGAUGCGUCCCGACUUCUGCCUUGUAGACCAGGAGCAGAACAAAAUGGGCCUCAUGACCAGCCAUUGGGCGUCUUGGCCACAGCACCCACGGAAAGAUGUGUCAGGGUCCAGCUCUUCCUGGGAAGCCCCUCCGAAUGCUCCCGGCCAGCCUGUUUCUCUGGGAUGAGGCCCCAGCAAGGCAGAUCGCAGCCUGCAGCCGGGAGGAACUGCUAAUAUAUGGCAAGAGUCUGGAAACCAGAUUCCAAAAGGUCACGUUGGACUGGAACCAACAAGAUUACGUUGAACAGGCUGGAUGUGAACCUCCACUUUCAGGUUCAAAAAUCAGUUGUAAAAAUGCAGGCAGCUUCCCACUGAAGACUUGCUGGGCCAAGCUGCAGCUGUCUGCACCACUCAGGCAGUUCAUCCACGCCCUGUCUCCCCAGCACAGGCCCUCUUGUGCAUUUCCCUGAGCCCCAGCAGCUGAGCCUGCGCCCUGGGGUGGGAGUGGGGGAUCCCGGGAUGUCUGACCCGCUGUCUCUGAUGUCAGGCCGGCUGGGGGAGGGGAUGCAGCUGGAGACAGCAGAGAAUGGGGUCCUUGUGCCACUGUCAUCAGGCCCGGAGCUUCCAUGAACACGGCUUUGUCUGCACCCAUACCCCGUGGUGACCACGGGACCAGGGGAUCAGUGGGCCUCUGAACAAGAGGGGCGUGCAGAGCGGCUUUUUGGCCUCAGUUAACUCUUAAAUGGGUGUCAGAGGCACUGUCUUCCCCUAGCUAUGCGCCUCGUGCCUGGGAGCCUUAGGGCCACACGGAAGGGUAGAAAUCAGUUUCAGGUCAGGAGGUCUGGAACAGCUUUGUUAAACCCAGUUUUUUUCCUAUGAAAAUGGCUGCAGACACUGGGGGAGGGAGAGGGUGGCCCUGAUCCCGAUGACUCUGAAACAUGCUUGGCCUUCCCCAGAGAUUCCUGCUCCCAGCCCAGGCCCAGACGGCAACAGAAGCUCAUGGUGAGUUCACCCCGGUCCUGGUCUGGCACCUCAUUGCUGGGGAGGUCUCGGCAGUCCAGAGGAGGUAGCCCCCACCCUGGGCAUCCAUCCGCCCAGGCCCCAGCCUCCGCGGGAAGACCCAAUUACAGAAGAGAGAAGUAUGUGGAGACCCUUGGCUGAGGUUGGGGGUCCUGGAAGCUGGAGGUAGUGUUCCUGGGUAUAGCAUGAUGGGUUGAUGGGUGGGUUUUAUUCUCUUUUUAAGGAUUUUUUAUAUUUUUCAAAUUUCCCUUUUGAAAUGUAUUCAUUUUGCAAUCAGAAAACAAAACAGGCCAGGCGUGGUGGUUCACACCUGUAAUCCCAGCACUUUGGGAGGCUGAGGCGGGUGGAUCACCUGAGGCCAGGAGUCCAAGACCAGCCUGGCCAACUUGGUGAAACCCCGUCUCUACUAAGAAUACAAAAAUUAGCCAGGCGUGGUGGUGGGCACCUGUAGCCCCAGCUACUUGGGAGGCUGAGGCACGAGAAUCGCUCGAACCCAGGAGGCGGAGCUUGCAGUGAGCUGAGAUCGCGCCACUGCACUCCAGCCUGGGCAACAGAGAGAGACUCUGUCUCAAAAAAAAGAAAACAAAACAAACCAGUGAACACUACUCCAAACAAAUGUCCAGGCCCAGAGAUCAGAGGCUGCAAGGUGGGCUCUGUCCCCAUGUCCCCAGCCACACUGCUGGGGAACCCACAGGGUGCCAGGUCCCCUCAGCCCUGUCCCUGCCCCACAGGCCCCUGGAGUGAUUGUAGGCUCUAGACUGCCUCAGUUUGCCCCCAGCCUCCCCUAGGUGCCCGGGGAGCCACUGGCCAGCCUCCGGUCGCACUCCACUCAGGGCUUGACGGGGAAACAGAAACCAGCCUUGAACGCCUUCCCACGCCCCAAAACGCCAGGGUGCACAGUGAGGGGAGCCCUGGUCAGAUGGCACAGAUGGCAUUCCUGCCCGCGAGAGGCCCAGGACCCCGGGGAGCCAGAGGGGCAGGGUGCCCGCAGCGUCCAGGCAAAUGGGCCCAGGCCCCCCGACACCCAGCUGAGGCCAGCUUCCCCCAGAGCGGUUUGGAGCCCUGCCCUGGAGAGGGGGCAGCUCGCCCAGCGUGGGGGUGAUGCCACCAGGUGGUGAGGCUGCUGGGCAGGGCUGGACCCCCUUUUAGACUCCCCUUCCGAUUUCUGUGUCCCUGAGUCUUGCCCAUGCUACAGCCUAACCCUGCCGUGGCCAAGGGACAGCGGGGCAACAGUGCCCUCCCCGAGCUUGCCCUGGGACAGCCGCCUCACUCGGAGGAAGCUGGGUUUUGCCGAAUUUUCUGCAUGAUGGGGCUCCGUGGGCUGGGGGCCACUUGCCUCCCUGCACCCGUCCCAGGACCCCAGGCUGCAAGCUGGAAACCCCAUGGGGGCGAGUGGAGCCCUGGGACUCCACAGGAGAGGGUCCUCUGUGACAAGAGGCUCCAGGGGACACAGGCUUGCGAACAUGGGGGCUGGGGUGGGGUCAAGGUAUGAACAGCGCAGGCCUAGAAGCCUCAGACUCUGAGGGGCAGGAAAGAGUCCCCAAAACGGAAUCAGAGGAGGAGCCCGGGGUGGGGGGAGGAGGAAAGGGGCGCAGUGGGCGCUGCCAUCCCUCCUUGGGGCACAUUUCUUCCCGCCCUGACCAAGAGGAAGGGACCCUCCUUCCUCCAGAAAGGACUUCUCCGAGCCCAGGACACACGAGGAAAGCGAGGCUCAGUCACCAGGAAGCCCUCACUCUCCGUCAAGGCCACCAAACGGGAAGAAGGGGAGCCAGGAUUUGAUCCCAGGCUUCCCUCCCAGCCUGCACGCUGCUGCACUACCCAACCCUGAGGACCCCAAGAACCUCUGAGAAUGUGGGAUUUUGGUUCUGAGCCUCCACGGGGCCCGUUGGUGGCCUCUGGUUCAGGACAACCAGAAUUGGCCCAGACAGCCAAGCAGCCAAGGGGCAGGCUUUGUAGAGUGUGGGGGUCUGUCCUCCCUCAUGGCCAGAAGCAGAUCCCACCCCUCAAAUGCAGGUGGGGUGGGGCAGGGGCUCCGGCUCCGUCAUCUGGGCUCCAGUGAGGCUGCCCGCUCCUGCUCACCUGCACAGGAGGCUGAGGGUGGGGCCCUGGGGGAGGGGCUGCCCCAGGCUGUAGUGCCUGGGAGAGCUGGGGGUGGGGAGGGGACAGGCAGGGGGCAGGCAGAUGGCCUUCCUGCUUGGCCCUCGCUGCCAGGUCUUGCUGCCUCCUCCUGUUGGGUGAUUUAGAUCAUUAUAGACCUGAGGUCCCACCAGGUGCAUUGGCUCAUGCCUGUAAUCCCAGCACUUUGGGAGGCUAAGGCGGGUGUAUGACCUGAGGUCAGGAGUUCGAGGCCAGCCUGGCCAACGUGGUGAAACCCCAUCUCUACUAAAAAUACAAAAAUUAGCUGGAUGUGGUGCCGCACACCUGUAAUCCCAGCUACUCAGGAGGCUGAGGCAGGAGAAUCGCUUGAACCUGGGAGGCGGAGGUUGCAGUGAGCUGAGAUCACGCCACACCCCACAGCCUGCAGCCUGGGCGACAGAGCGAGUCUGUCUCAAAAAAAAUAAAAAUAAAUAAAUAAAUAAAACUGAGGUGCAAAGUUUAAAGGUUUGGGUGACACAUCAGAGGCAGACUUGGGGAAGAAGUGUCUGUCCCACCCUCCCAGACCACAUCCUCUAAGGGCUUGGGCCCCGGGGAUGCUGGGUGGCCCCUUGGAACUGUGAGGAGCUGACACAUGGGUGGGGACCAGAGGAGGGGACGUGGAGAGCCCUGGUGAGGAUGUGGGCGCUGGUGGGGACUGCCUGGUGUGUGAUGGGGACAGGAACAGGCAUGGAGAUGGCCCACACCCGAGACAGUGGGCUCCUGGGGCCACCUCUUCUCCACACGGCGGCAGCAGGUCUAGUUCGGGCCUAACAGCCCAGCCAUCCCUGAGAGCCAGCGCCGAGGGUGCAGCAGCUGCCUCCUCUCCGGGCCCACCGGACGGUCGCCGUCCUGCCAGGAGCUCCCGUGCCCAUCGCCAGAGAGGGAAAUGCUCCUUGGUCUCAGGAGGCAGCGGGGCCCGGGACUCACAUGGACCUGGGCCCAAGUCGACCAGUUCCAGCUGGGCACACUGGGAAGGUCACCCACCUCCCGAGCCCUCCAUGUCCAGGCCAUUGUGGGAAAACCCUCUCCAACAGGGGAGUGAAGGGACAGGAUGGAGCGGGAGCGGCGCCAAAGCACGGGGAGAACCAGAGGCCGCAGGUGAGACCCCGCCGUGGGCCAUGUCCCGUCUCUUCCUCUGAGGGCAGGCGUUUCACCCGAUCACCCUCCCGGCUCUCUCGGCCACCCCUGCUUGGGCUUGCUCCUGUCUGGUGUUGGGUGACCUGCCUGCUGCUCUCAGACCCCACACCCGUUUGUGGCCUCAUGGCCAUGAGUGGCCCCGUCCCCGACUCCACUGCAGUGGGCACAGUGGUGGCCCCCAAAUGAUCGGUCCACCUGGAGCCUGUGAACACGACAGGCUUAUUUGGGAAAAGGGUCUUUGUCCAGAGACAAAGGCCCUUAGAAGACAGAGGUCGGGGGAGAUUUGAGAGGGAGGCGACAGAGGCCACGUGAAGAUGAGGCAGAGAUGGGAAUGACACGGCCACGUCCACGGGACACCUGGGGCCACCAAAUGCCAGAAGAGGCGGGAAGAACCUCCCCUGCAGCCUGCAGAGAGAGGACAGUCCUGCCGAUAGCUUGAUUUUGGUUCCGGCCACCAGGACUCGGAGAAAAUAGACUUCUGUUGUUUGCAGCUGCCCCAUUUGUGGUCUUUUGUUGGGUGGCCCCAGACAUAAUCCCAGCACUGGCCUGGCCCGGCCCAUGGGCAGCUGUCCCCAGCCUGGCGGAGGGUGUGGCUGUGAUGUUACCCCCAGGAUAUCCAGUACCGCAGUCUCCAUCUGAGCCGCCAUCGGGCUGUGGGGUGCCUGCUAGCCUGUGGCAGAAGGACCAGGACCUGGGGGCUGGCAGGGAGCAAGAGCUGAGCGAACCAGCUGGGAGGAAGGACUGAGGCCACACCGGUGUCCGGGGGGAUUCGGACGUCACCAGUGUGGAGUCUGGGGGUGUUCUGACUGACUUUAGACAGAAAUUUCUUUUUCUCUCUGGAAAGGGCGGCGGUGGGCCCGUGUGCAGGGGAGCGUGGACUUGGAACUCGGGGAGCCCUGGGUUCUGCCUCAUCCUCUACAUCCCUGUGGGGCCACGUCCACUCACCGAGGGGUUCUUGCCGCCUUGACUGAGGGUGGCCGGGCACCAGCACCUUUGCAGCUUUGCCCAGCACCUUGGCAUGGGGUCGGGGGCGGUGCAGAGUUCUGUUUUACAGGGAAGGGAACUGAGGCACAGGGAGAUGACAGCUCGCCGCUGGUGCUGACCAUGGGCUCACACUGCCUGGCCGCCCGUGCAGCCCCUGCCCUCCAUGACGAACGUGCUCAUGUUUCCUGGCUGCCCCCCGGCCCCACUCCCACCUCCCUGGCUAAACAAGGGAGAUCUUGAUGUGAGUUCUCCUUUUUCCUUUCUGGAAGGAAUGGCAGACUCUGGACAUGCUCCUAGAGAUGGGAGGUCAAAAUGAUCAACGUUCAGGGUCCCUUCAUCUCAGAGGGUCUCGAGUCACCUCAUUUAAAGGUGGGAACUGGGGAUCCUGGAACCUCCCCUGCACCCCAGAUGCUUCUGGGGCCCUUGAGAACUUGCCCUGAGCUGUCACCUGGCCUAGACUCCCAGCCACUUUCAGGGCACAGAGAAACUGCCCUCACUCUGAAAAUGUGGAGACCGGGACCCAGAGAGGUAGAGUGACUUGCCCAUGGCCACACAGCCUGUGAAGGAUGACCAGGUUUGGUCUCCGCCAGCUGUUCUGGCUCUGCUCCUGCAGUCAACAGCCACCACCCC